rnacentral:rRNA from 1 species
GCUUAGCCGCAAACUUUUAAUUACACUCACAACGCCAGGGUACUACGAGCAAAGCUUAAAACCCAAGGGACUUGACGGUACCCCAUAUCCCCCUAGAGGAGCCUGUCCUAUAAUCGAUAAUCCCCGUUUAACCUCACCAUUUUUAGCCAUAUCAGUCUGUAUACCUCCGUCGCCAAUUUACCACGUGAGCGUCUAAUAGUAAGUGAAAUGUCUUAUUACUCAACUAUACGUCAGGUCAAGGUGCAGCAAAUAAAAUGGGAAGAGAUGGGCUACACUCUCUAAUUUAGAACACACGGAAAACUCGUUAUGAAAAGAGUUUGAAGGCGGAUUUAGUAGUAAGAAGGGCUCAGAGAACCCCUCUAAAACCGGCACUGGGGUGUGUACACACCGCCCGUCACCCUCUUCGCAGCCCUUAAAUAGUAUUUUACACCUACAUGCACAGUAGAAGAGGCAAGUCGUAACAUGGUAAGUAUACCGGAAGGUGUGCUUGGAAA